CUGUAGUUACGAUUACAAAGCAGUCCGGCCCCCCACAACAACAACUCAAGGUCCAAUAAGGGGGGAAGCAGACUGAAGUCUCUCUUCCCCACCUUCCCCUUUUUGCCUUGCAAUCAACAGCUGUUCACAAAUUGGUUUCUUAGAUGAAUUUGGAGAAUAGAAUACCCCCUGGGAGUUACUUCCAGUACUCUCCAACUGGAAUCCAUGGUCCACUUCAUAGGUCAUCUUCUCUUACAGAUCGUGAAAGAUAUUUGGCAGAGUUAUUGGGGGAGAGGCAAAAAUUGGGGCCAUUCAUGCAGAUACUUCCUAUAUGCAAUAGACUUCUAAACCAAGAAAUCAUGCGAACAACAGCUUUGUUGUCAAAUCAGUUCGUGGAUCAGGAGAGGAUGGGACAAGAGAGUCCACAUAGAUCAGUCAGUCAACAUAUGAAUGGAGGUCAGAUAAAUAAGGGGGCAUGGAGUGCAAUGCAAACUGAGGAAAAUAGACUUCUCCAGAAAAUAGCACCAUUUCAACCUUCACCUCUGGAUUGGCAUGUUGUGCCGGGAACUGCAACCACUCCUGUUGUGAAGAGAGUCAUAAGACUGGAUGUUCCUGUGGAGAAUUUCCCAAAUUAUAAUUUUGUCGGUCGAAUUUUGGGACCACGUGGGAAUUCCCUAAAGAGGGUUGAAGCCAUUACAGAGUGCAGAGUCUACAUCAGAGGACAAGGUUCAGUCAAGGACUCGAUCAAGGAAGAGAAAUUGAAAGAUAAACCUGGGUAUGAGCAUCUCAAAGAGCCACUACAUCUCCUGGUGGAGGCUGAAUUUCCGGAAGACAUCAUUGACGCGCGCAUUGAUCAUGCAGUGUCGAUCCUAGAGAACUUGUUAAAGCCUGUGGAUGAAUCUGUGGAUGUUUAUAAGAAGCAACAACUAAGAGAAUUGGCCAUGCUAAAUGGCACACUAAGGGAAGAAAGCCCAAGCAUGAGUCCGCGAAUGAGCCCUAGCAUGUCUCCAUUUAGUAAUACAGGAAUGAAACGAGCAAAGACGGGAAGAUGACAAGUAAUUGCUGAAAUGCUGUUUGUCUAGUGAUCGACACAGAUGAUAGCUUAUCUGCGCGAUUAGGAAGACUUCCCAAGUUUGCUUCUGGUACAGAAUGCAGGAAUCUUCAAACAGAUUCUUUAGAUAUAGGCGUAAUGUUUUUUUUCCCUUUUUCUGUAACCAUCUCUCCUAGAGGUAUUGACCUUUAGUCUUAAUCUAGGUUUAGUGGUCAAUGUGAUAAAUCAAUCAGAAUAAUCUGUUUCUUAUUCGAAACUUGUGAGAUUCAUGUAUUAUUUUAAUUAUUGCAGGUCAAACUGCAUCAACUUCUGAAUAAAUAUAUUGAGAAGAACAGAAGUUUGACAAGAUAUGCU
rnacentral:misc_RNA from 1 species